rnacentral:rRNA from 1 species
CAAUAGCGUAUAUUAAAGUUGUUGCAGUUAAAAAGCUCGUAGUUGGAUUUGUGGCGUACGGUGGGUUCCGGGCACUUGUUGUCUGAGUAACUUGCUGUUGCCAUCCUUGGGUGGAACCUGUGUGGCAUUAGGUUGUCGUGCAGGGGAUGCUCAUCAUUUACUGUGAAAAAAUUAGAGUGUUCAAAGCAGGCUUAUGCCGUUGAAUAUAUUAGCAUGGAAUAAUGAGAUAGGACUUUUUUGCUAUUUUGUUGGUUUGCGCAAAGAGGUAAUGAUUAAUAGGGACAGUUGGGGGUAUUCGUAUUCCAUUGUCAGAGGUGAAAUUCUUGGAUUUUUGGAAGACGAACUACUGCGAAAGCAUUUACCAAGGAUGUUUUCAUUAA